GAUGAACGCUGGCGGCGUGCCUAAUACAUGCAAGUCGAGCGAACGGACGAGAAGCUUGCUUCUCUGAUGUUAGCGGCGGACGGGUGAGUAACACGUGGAUAACCUACCUAUAAGACUGGGAUAACUUCGGGAAACCGUAGCUAAUACCGGAUAAUAUUUUGAACCGCAUGGUUCAAAAGUGAAAGACGGUCUUGCUGUCACUUAUAGAUGGAUCCGCGCUGCAUUAGCUAGUUGGUAAGGUAACGGCUUACCAAGGCAACGAUGCAUAGCCGACCUGAGAGGGUGAUCGGCCACACUGGAACUGAGACACGGUCCAGACUCCUACGGGAGGCAGCAGUAGGGAAUCUUCCGCAAAGGGCGAAAGCCUGACGGAGCAACGCCGCGUGAGUGAUGAAGGUCUUCGGAUCGUAAAACUCCGUUAUUAGGGAAGAACAUAUGUGUAAGUAACUGUGCACAUCUUGACGGUACCUAAUCAGAAAGCCACGGCUAACUACGUG
rnacentral:rRNA from 1 species